UCCGGUUUGAAAUUGUGCUAAUGGUAAGCAAAAUUUCGGAUAGAAAAUCCCAUUCGGAUUAUUCGCUUUCCAUUUAAUAAUUUCAAUUGUUAAAUCGCGAAGAGCCUGGAACUGGUGAAAAAAUUUGAAAAAUGUAAAUGGAACAACAUUUACCGGUUGAAACUUUCCAAUCGGUAAGAGAGGACAACCUUUUCAAACAAACCGUUUAUUCCGGAAAAGUUCCGGUUGGGCCGUCGAAAUAUGCUUGUUCCAUUUACUUUCCGCAUGGAAUCACCGGAAUUUCCAUGUAAAUGGUAAACAACCGAG